CAGUCGCCGCGGUAAUACGAAGGGUGCAAGCGUUAAUCGGAAUUACUGGGCGUAAAGCGUGCGUAGGCGGUGAGUUAAGUCUGCUGUGAGAUCCCCGGGCUCAACCUGGGGACUGCAUUUGUGACUGUCAAGCUAGAGUGUGGCAGAGGGGGGUGGAAUUCCGCGUGUAGCAGUGAAAUGCGUAGAUAUGCGGAGGAACACCGAUGGCGAAGGCAGCCCCCUGGGCCAACACUGACGCUCAUGCACGAAAGCGUGGGGAGCAAACAGGAUUAGAUACCCGAGUAGUCCCUGUCUCUUAUAA
rnacentral:rRNA from 1 species